rnacentral:rRNA from 1 species
GACGAACGCUGGCGGCGUGCUUAACACAUGCAAGUCGAACGGAAAGGCCUGCUUUCCCUUGUGGAUUGCGGGUGCUCGAGUGGCGAACGGGUGAGUAACACGUGAGUGAUCUGCCCCCAACUUGGGUAUAAGCCUGGGAAACUGGGUCUAAUUCCCGAUAGGACUGCAGGGUGGUGCCUGUGGUGGAAAACGAUUUUCUAGUGGUUGGGGAUGAGCUCGCGGCCUAUCAGCUUGUUGGUGGGGUAAUGGCCUACCAAGGCGGCGACGGGUAGCCGGCCUGGGAGGGUGGACGGCCACAUUGGGACUGAGAUACGGCCCAGACUCCUACGGGAGGCAGCAGAGGGGAAUAUUGCGCAGUGGGCGGAAGCCUGAUGCAGCGACGCCGCGUGGGGGAUGACGGCCUUCGGGUUGUAAACUCCUUUCGACCGCGAGGAAGCCACCUGGUUGGAAGGGUGGUGACGGUAGUGGGAGAAGAAGCACCGGCUAACUACGUG